rnacentral:lncRNA from 1 species
GGCCGGCCGUGCCCCUCUUUCCCACGGAGCCCGGCGCCCGGUGGGGAGUGGGGAGUGGGUGGGGGGAGCCAGCAGAGUUCCAUUUUGGAACGCCCGUGCCGCGUCUCCGCGCUCCCAGCCCGGGUCCCCGCGUCCCCAGCCCCGGCGCAGGUCUCCACACGCUGACUGCUCUUGGAGGCAAAGAGUACCAAGAUUCCCAGGAUGUAAGCAGUCCGGGUCUGGGGAGUGCAGCGGAACUGCCAAUGCUGAUAAAGGGGACGCUCUGUCUUUGAUGAGAGAAGAGAACCUCCCUCCCCUGCCGGCCUCGGGCCUCCACCCUGGCCAGAGACUCCAAGUGCAACUGCCUGGCUGUGUGCGCUGCGGGUGCAGGAAGCCCAGCCUCACGCACCCCGCCCAGAGGACCGGUGGGAAUUGUUCAUAGUGCCAAAGUCCUACUACUGCGUUUUCAAUGGGUCCCUGUAAAUAGUUUGCUCCUCUGCCCUGGCCCCCACCUCUUGCGAUACUGGAAACAAUUUGUACAAUGUGGGAAUUUUGUUACCUUUUUAAUCAAGGGCAACCUCCUUUUCCAGCACUACCAUUGUAAGGUCUUUUUCCAGGAGGGAGGGCUGAUCACAUGUGCUUUUCUCUUUUUUCCUUUUCUUUUUUUUUUUUAAUCUUUAUUUUAUUAAUUUUGGGGAGGGGGGAUGUUAGCAUUAGUGCCGUUAUAUCUACUGGAUUUUAGGUAGGGAGAGUUGAUUCUUUUUUUUUUUUAAGUAGUUUGAAAUUUGGGAGAUUUCUCCGUGGGGAAGGCUAGGAUUUGGGCACCUGUCUCAACUUUGAGAGGGUUCGCAGAUGGCAGAUCUUCUGGAUCAAACCCAUUUCCAGUUCUUCCCCCAGCCACCCCUGGGGUCCCUGUUUAGCCACGCACAGGGCUUUCCAAACUGCCAACAGAUAGAUCUGGCUUCUAGACCACCUGGCCUCUCUGGCUGACCUUGGGCUGAGCCAGCACCAGAGACCCGGGGAGCAGAUGGCUCCCCUCUUUCAGCCUCUUUUCAGAUACCAGCAGAAAGGGCUCCCACCUUUUUAGCAUUAUCAUUACUUUGACAAAACUAAAACAAAAAGAGGUCUUCCUAUCUAGAUGGUACAAAGAUGAACAGCUUUGGUUUUGACUUCUGUUCUUGACUGGCUUUUCUCCGUGUGGUUAUUUGACAAGAUUUCAGCUUGAAGCCUCACCCAUGAAUUGAUUUUUGUUUGUUUGUGUGUUUGUUUUGGGCCAAUUUUAGAUUCCUGAGUGCACUUUUGUUUUUUUCCAGUUAGUCCUAACUUUUAAAGAAGAAAAACCAAGAGACAGAUCUGGUGUAAAUGUUGCAAUAUGAAUUGUGUUUGCAACCCAUUCCCCCCACCGCCCCCCAUUUGGGUACACUGCACAAAUAAAAUGCUAGGGAGUUCGGGGAAAGAAAAACCA